GUAGGUGGCAAGCGUUGUCCGGAAUUAUUGGGCGUAAAGCGCGCGCAGGCGGUUCUUUAAGUCUGAUGUGAAAGCCCACGGCUCAACCGUGGAGGGUCAUUGGAAACUGGAGAACUUGAGUACAGAAGAGGAAAGCGGAAUUCCACGUGUAGCGGUGAAAUGCGUAGAGAUGUGGAGGAACACCAGUGGCGAAGGCGGCUUUCUGGUCUGUAACUGACGCUGAGGCGCGAAAGCGUGGGGAGCAAACAGGAUUAGAUACCCUGGUAGUCCACGCCGUAAACGAUGAGUGCUAAGUGUUAGGGGGGUUUCCGCCCCCCUUAGUGCUGCAGCUAACACAUUAAGCACUCCGCCCUGGGAGUACGGCCGCAAGGCUG
rnacentral:rRNA from 1 species